UACGGAGGGGACUAGCGUUGUUCGGAAUUACUGGGCGUAAAGCGCGCGUAGGCGGGCUGGUCAGUUGGGGUGAAAUCCGAGGCCUUAACCUCGGAACUGCCUUCAAUACUGCCAGUCUUGAGUUCGGAAGAGGUGAGUGGAAUUCCUAGUGUAGAGGUGAAAUUCAUAGAUAUUAAGGAAGAACACCAGUGGCGAAAGGCGGACUCA
rnacentral:rRNA from 1 species